UCCUUCGCUGGUCAUUCUUGUUUACACCGGUGAAAAUAUUAAUUGGUAGUCAACAAAAAUUUUAAGAUUUAAUUAUGUCGUCAGUUGAAAAUAUUCCGGUAAAUACAUUCCGGAAUUAUCUAAACAUAUUAAAUGAUAUAUCUGCUAAAGAAGAACUUAAGUUAAAAGCUGCACAAGAACUAAGUGAACACUUUGAAAUAAUAAUGCAAAGCCCAGCGUAUCCUUCGUUUUUAGAGAACUCUCUUAAAAUUUUUAUGCGGAUACUGCAGGACGGCGAGCCUCAGUUUAUUCAAGAAAAUACAAUGCAGCACAUUCGGAAACUUAUUUUGGAGAUGAUCCACAGAUUGCCAAUAACAGAAAGCUUAAGGCAACAUGUAAAGUCAAUAAUAACUAUGAUGCUUAAAAUACUAAAAACGGAUAAUGAAGAAAAUGUUCUUGUAAGUCUUCGCAUUAUAAUUGAGCUGCACAAACACUUUCGUCCAUCGUUUAACCCCGAAAUUCAACUUUUCUUGGGAUAUGUAAAGGAUAUUUAUACCAAUCUUCCCAAUCAUCUUGCUGCUAUUUUCGAAACGUCAAGCGAUAUUUGGGUAUGCGAUUUGAAGGACUUAAAUUUUGAAGUGCUUUUAUCCCAAGCAUAUUCCGUAAAAACAAUACAUGUCGAAAAGCAACUUGACUCUAAUUCUCAACAGCAACUCUAUAAUCUUCUUCCGCGAGGAAUAUUAUCUUUGAAAGUUUUACAGGAACUCCCAAUAAUUGUUGUUCUUAUGUACCAAAUAUAUAAAAACGCUGUACAUCAAGAAGUAUCUGAAUUCAUUCCUUUAAUAUUGACCACUAUAAACCUUCAACCUACUUUAACACAAAGAAACUCGUCACAAAAGGAAAUUUUUGUAGACUUCAUGGGUGCACAAAUCAAAACAUUGUCAUUUCUGGCAUACAUUGUUCGAAUAUUUCAGGAAGUUGUGGUCGCCAGCUCAUUAUCAGUAGUAAGUGGAAUGCUUAACCUGAUGAGAAAUUGUCCCAAGGAAGCAGCCCAUCUCAGGAAAGAGUUAUUAAUAGCAGCUCGGCAUAUUUUUGCUACGGACCUGCGUCAAAAAUUUAUUCCAUCAAUUGAAAAACUUUUUGAUGAGGACUUGCUGAUUGGAAAAGGCGUCACUGUGGACUCGAUUCGCCCUUUGGCAUAUUCAACACUAGCAGAUCUUGCUCAUCAUGUUCGACAAAGCCUUAAUUUAGAUGUUCUAAUAAAGGCUGUAAAUCUAUUUUCAAAAAAUGUCCAUGAUGAAACACUGGCUGUUGGAAUACAAACAAUGUCUUGCAAGCUUUUGUUAAACUUGGUUGACUGCUUACGACAUCACAGUGAAAUAGAGCCUCACAGAUCUAGAGCUAUACUUUCAAAACUGUUAAAAGUUUUUGUAACAAAAUUUGAAACUAUUGCCAAAAUUCAGCUUCCAUUAAUAAUUCAAAAAUGUAAAGGACAACCUAAUUCUGGGGCACAAUCGAAUACGUCUGGAAACGUUUUAGCGCUGUCAGACAUGAAGGAUGAUCAAAUAUCAAACGAUCAAAUCAAAAUUUCCUCUACUGGAUCACAAUGGGCAAAUACGGUUAAUGUAGCUGAAUUUCGAAGUUUGGUAAAAACCCUUGUUGGUGGAGUAAAAACAAUAACUUGGGGUUUUUUCAACUCAAAGUUUCAGAUGUCUGAUACAGGUCAUGCUUAUCACGAAAAGCUUUUUGGUCCUGAAAUCUUAUGCUCUUAUAUUGACUUGGUCCAUUAUGCGAUGGAGGCUUUAGACGUUUAUACUAUAAAUGUUAACCCGAAUCAACAAAGAACCUCUGGUCUGAUUUCACGAAGUAAAGAAGAAAAAGAAGUAUUGGAGCAUUUUAGUGGCAUAUUUUUAAUGAUGCACUCUCAAAACUUUCAAGAAAUAUUUUCAACAACAAUCCAUUUCUUAGUGGAAAGGAUCUAUAAAAAUCAGUCCCUGCAAGUAAUAGCAAACUCAUUUUUGGCUAAUCCGACAACAUCACCUCUUUUUGCCACGGUACUAGUUGAAUAUCUUUUGGAUAAAAUGGAAGAAAUGGGCUCAAACUUGGAGCGUUCUAAUUUGUAUCUUCGCCUAUUUAAGUUGGUUUUUGGAAGCGUGAGUCUUUUUCCAGUCGAAAACGAACAAAUGUUGCGUCCGCAUCUUCAUAAAAUAGUGAUUCGAUCAAUGGAAUUGGCUUUGGUUUCUGACGAGCCCUACAACUAUUUUUUACUGCUGAGAGCACUGUUUAGGUCGAUUGGAGGUGGCAGCCAUGACCUAUUAUACCAAGAGUUUCUUCCACUUUUACCAAAUUUAUUGGAAGGAUUAAAUCGUCUUCAGAGUGGAUUUCACAAACAGCAUAUGCGAGAUCUUUUUGUGGAGCUUUGCCUUACUGUACCAGUUCGCUUGUCUUCUUUACUGCCAUACCUACCGAUGUUAAUGGAUCCUUUGGUUUCUGCUUUAAAUGGAUCCCCUACCUUAAUAAGUCAGGGCCUGCGUACAUUGGAACUUUGUGUUGAUAACUUGCAACCUGAUUUUUUAUACGAUCACAUACAACCAGUAAGAGCAGCUUUAAUGCAAGCAUUGUGGAAAACCCUAAGAAACCAGGACAACGCUGCUUUGGUUGCUUUUCGGGUUCUUGGAAAAUUCGGAGGCGGAAAUCGAAAAAUGAUGGUUGAGCCACAAACUUUAUCUUAUGAUCAAACCGAAAAACCCACCAUUUCGAUUGUUACUUAUUUUCAAGAAUAUGAAAAACCAAUAGAUUUUCCUGUUGAUGAAGCUAUUGAAUCAGCUCUUAGAGCAUUGGGGUCAAACUCUACUGACCAGUUUUACAGACGGCAAAGCUGGGAAGUAAUCCGAUGUUUCUUAGCUGCCUUUAUUAGUUUGGAUGAUGAAAAACAUAUGCUGCUAAAACUUUUUACACAUGCAGAUUUUGUUGAAAAUAAAAUUAUGAAUUAUUCUACAUUUCAGCAUAAAGUAGACAAUGAAACUGUGCGUGGAACGCAUCAGACAGCUCUUAUAGGAAUGUUAGUUGCAUCAGCAACGAAAGAUUUGCGAGAUUCUGUGUGUCCAGUGAUGGCCGCUGUUGUAAGACAUUAUACUAUGGUGGCGAUUGCACAACAGGCUGGACCAUUUCAACAGAAAGGCUAUCAAUCUUCAAAUGGAAUAGAUCCGAUGGUAUUAAUUGAUGCUUUAGCCUCUUGCAUGGGCCAUGAAGAAAAGGAAUUAUGUAAGCCCGGAAUAGCGUGCAUGGGUAUUAUUCUUGACACUGCAACAAAUAUUAUGGGCAACAAAGAAAGAGCGUGUAGAUUACCUAUUAUUCAGUAUCUUGCAGAAAAAAUGAUAUCUCUGUGCUAUGACCGCCCUUGGUACUCGAAGGUAGGCGGUUGCCAAGCAAUUCAGUUUUUAUGUAAACAUAUGUCUUUACGGGCUCUGUUCCAAAAUCUUUUUAAUUUCUUAAAAGCUUUUAUGUUCGUUUUAAUGGACCUUGAAGGAGAUGUUUCUAACGGCGCUAUUGAAAUAACAAAAAACUACAUGAAGACCAUGUUGGAAAUUUGUUUAAGCCCAAUAAAUGAGAGUUAUAAAAACGUGGAACUGAAAGAAUUGCAAGCAAAAGCCACAUAUGAAGUAAUUCACGAAUUAGUUCGACAUAUAACAAGCCCAAAUGCUAUUGUUAGAGAAGAAUCUAUGACAUUGCUUAAACACAUUGGCACAAUGCAGUCAAAAACUGUUUCAGAAGUAAUGGAUCCACACAAAGAUGUUCUCGCUGACAUAAUACCUCCAAAAAAGCAUUUGUUAAGGCACCAGCCUGCAAAUGCACAAAUUGGAUUAAUGGAUGGCAACACGUUUUGUACCACUUUAGAGCCACGUUUAUUUACAAUUGAUUUGACGAACACUUACCACAAACUAUUUUUUCACGAGUUGCUUACACUAAGUGAAGCCGAAGAUGCCACUUUGGCAAAGCUGGACUGUUACAAAAAUGUUCCGAACCUUAUACCACUGAGAACCAGUGCAUUGAGAGCUCUUGCAGCUUGUCAUUAUAUCAGUGAUAUCGGAUACAAAGAUAAAAUUAUAAAUAUUAUUUUCAAAGUCAUGGAAAAUGAUAAAUCAGAGCUUCAAGAAACUGCGUACCUUUGUAUGAAGCAUUUCAUUACUGGAGUUACACUGGAGAAAGAAAAGAUACAAUCUGCAAUGCGCCCACUGCUUUUAAAAUUGGGAGAUCACAGGAAUUUAAAUAUACCAGCAAUUAAACGGCUAUCUUAUUUUACCCGACUAUUUCCUCAAUUGUUUAAUGAGAAGUUAAGUGAGCAAAUAUUGCAACAUUGCUCAAAAAUUAUAGAAAUAUUUGUUGGAGACUAUAAGUGCACAAAUCCGAAUAUCAACUUUUUUGCAUCAUCAAAAGGUGGAGAGUAUGAACAGAAAAUUGUUACACUUAUCGAAAUGUUUUAUCAUAUCUCAGCGUCAGUAAAAUUUAUUGAAAAAUUGUGCCAACUGGUCUUAAAAACUGAAAAAAACCUAAUGAUUGAGGCAUCGAGCCCAUAUCGAGAAGCGCUUGUUAUGUUUCUACAAAAAUUUCCGGCAGAAACAGUAGAUUUAUUUUUAAUGGAAUCUAUAAUGAUAGAUCCUCAAUGGAAUCGAUUCUUUAUAUUUCUUUUGAAGCACGAACUGGGAGCAUCAUUUUGUGCAGUUAUCAAAAGUAGUAAAUAUAAUAGAUUAUUAUAUUACUUAAAUUUUAAAACAGAGUCAUCCCAAACUCAUAAAUACGAAGUUCAGCACCAAACAGUUUUAAUUAUUUUUACGUUAAUGGAAUUAGACGAUCAAUGGAUUCCAACAAGGCAAGACAUUGUGGACGCCCUAAAAAACUGUUGGCAGAGUAAUUUAUGUUUUACAGGCUCUGAAAAUGUAGCUUGUGACUUAUGGCAUUUAAUUGGAAAAAUACUACUACUUUAUUUUUCUAACAACACAAAUGACAUUGAACUUCUCUUUCAAUUAUUAAGAGCAUUAUGCUUUCGAUUUAUACCUGAUGUCUAUUUCUUGCGAGAUUUUUUGCAAAACACUGUUGCCCAAAGCUUUACCGUUAAUUGGAAAAGAAACGCGUUCUUUUAUUUUGUCGAAAAUUUUAAUAACAACAACAUUUCAGAAGAGCUAAAAGCUAAGAUUAUAACGGCUGUCAUAAUUCCAUGUUUUACUGUAAGUUUUGACAAAGGGGAAGGAAAUAAACUUAUUGGAGCUCCCCCUACACCAUACCAAGAAGAUGAAAAAAAUAUUGUUUCGGUAUUUAUUAACAAAGUUUUUGAUCCGGAUAAACAAUAUGAUGAUGCAGUAAGAAUUGCUCUGUUACAGCUGGCAUGUUUAUUAGUAGAACGCGCAUCUCAGCACAUACAUGAUGGAGAUGCUAAUAAUAAGCGGCAAGGUAAUAAGCUUAGGCGUCUAAUGACCUUUGCUUGGCCCUGUUUACUAAGUAAAAAUUCGGUGGACCCCACUGCGCGAUAUCAUGGUCAUUUAUUGCUUUCACAUAUAAUUGCUAGAUUGGCGAUUCAUAAGAAAAUAGUCUUGCAAGUAUUUCAUUCCUUGCUAAAAGGGCAUGCAUUAGAGGCCAGAUCUAUAGUUAAGCAAGCACUUGAUGUACUGACACCAGCUAUGCCAUUGCGAAUGGAAGACGGUAACACCAUGCUUACACACUGGACAAAAAAAAUAAUCGUUGAAGAAGGUCAUGCAAUGCAGCAAUUGUUUCAUAUAUUACAACUUAUAAUUCGUCAUUAUAAAGUAUAUUUUCCUGUUAGGCAUCAACUGGUGCAGCACUUAAUUAAUUAUAUGCAGCGCUUGGGUUUUCCUCCUACUGCAUCUAUCGAACAUAAAAAAUUAGCUGUGGAUCUAGCUGAAGUUAUAAUAAAAUGGGAGCUUCAUCGUAUCAAAGAGGACGAAAGAGAGAACAAAGUUGAUGGUACUGAGGAAGAGUUAAAUCAGGACAGCUCAAUAAAACGUCAAGGAAUUGAAUCUGUCGAAACUCGUAAGAAGUCGGUUGAUACUACUCGAGAAUCAACAGUGCAAGGUGUUGGAUCAUAUAAUAAGGCUGAUGACAUUCUGCGCUCUAUCGAUAAGUCCUACUGCGAUACGGUAUUAAAUUUUUUGGUGCGCUUAGCGUGCCAGGUUAAUGAUCCACAAGCCUCUAUAAUAUCGCCUGGGGAGAGUUUAUCUCGAAGAUGUGUUAUGCUCUUAAAAAUGGCAAUGCGUCCCGAGAUUUGGCCUCAACCAUUUGAUAUUAAGCUCAACUGGCUUGACAAAGUUCUUGCAACUGUGGAAACUCCUCAUCACAACUUAAACAACAUUUGUACUGGAAUCGAUUUUUUAACAUUCUUAACGACUAUAUUAAGUCCUGAACAGUUGGUGUCAAUUGUAAGGCCAGUUCAAAGGGGUCUGUCUUUAUGUAUAAUUCAUCAAAAUACUCGGAUUGUGCGAUUAAUGCAUAUCUUUUUAACGCGACUUAUGGCUAUUUUUCCACCAGACACGCAACAUAAACAUGAUGAUCUUGAAAUAUUGUAUAACGCUGUAAGUAAAAUGAUCGCUGAGAACCUUACAUUUUACGAAAGGAGUCCACAACCGAAUGCUUCAUCGCUGUUUGGAACCCUGAUGAUUUUGAAAGCGUGCACCACAAAUAAUCACAGUUUUAUCGAUCGAAUUUUGGUCCAGUUUAUAAGAGUUUUAAACCGUCUUACAAAGGAUCAUAUUAACACUAUAAGCGGCAAUAAUGUUAUUAACCAACCCUCUGAUUCAAACUCUUUGCCUUUGGAGCUGUUGGUGCUUUCAUUGGAACUAAUCAAAAAUAGGAUCUUUAUAAUGAGUGUGGAGAUCAGAAAGCUUUUUAUCGGCACAAUUUUGGUUAGCCUUAUAGAAAAGAGCUCGGAAGUUAAAAUUAUAAAAUGUAUAAUAAAAAUGCUUGACGAUUGGGUCAAAACAAAAGAACCAAAUAUUAUGACCCAAGUUCCGUCUAUUCGGGAAAAAUCAGCUUUGCUGGUAAAGUUAAUGCAAAACGUUGAAAAAAAAUUUACUGAUGAUAUCGAAGUGAAUGUGCAAUUCUUAGAAAUUAUAAAUUAUAUAUAUAGAGAUGAAAUUCUUAAACAGACAGAAUUAACAAGUAAACUAGAAGGCGCAUUUCUAAAUGGUUUACGCUUUCAAAAUCCUCACAUACGGGCGAAAUUUUUCGAGAUUUUAGACUCUUCAAUGCGUCGUAGACUUCAUGAUAGGUUGUUAUAUAUAAUUUGCUCUCAAGCAUGGGAUACAAUUGGGUCACAUUAUUGGAUAAAACAAUGCAUUGAAUUGCUUAUUUUAACAGCCAAUACAAUGAUGCAAAUUCAAUGUUCAAAUGAAGAACUGAAAAUACCCAGCAUUACUUCAGUAAUUCCCGCUAACUCAGCGGAAACACAAGAAAAUUCGUUUGUAUCUUUCUUAUCGUCUCAGUCAGAAUCUUUUGAUAUCGUUCAAAGUGUCGAUGACAAAGAUGACGUGUUUGACAUUGAUUUAACUCUUGAGUUUACUGCUGAUCGAAAGGAGGAUUGUCAACAAAUAUUACCCACUCGACGUGUUACAUUAGCUGAACUUGUUUAUAAGCAAGCAGAGUUUUUAGAAGCAAAUCGAAACAUAAGGACUGAUCAGAUGCUCGUAGCUACAUCACAGCUUUGUCAUAUUGAUACUCAAUUAGCUCAAAGUGUAUGGCUAUCUAUUUUUCCUCGUUUUUGGAGUAUAUUUUCGGAAGAUCAAAGAUAUAAUAUCACAAAAGAAUUAAUACCAUUUUUAUCUUCUGGAACAAAUGUUAACCAAAAAGACUGCUUUCCAAGUACUCUAAACACUUUUGUAGAAAGCUUGACAAAAUGCGCGCCAUCAAUAUAUAUUCCGCCCAAUUUAUUGUCUUACCUCGGAAAAUCACAUAACCUAUGGCACAGAGCAAUUCUGGUAUUAGAAGAUAUGACCGUUAAUCAAUCUGUUCAAAAUAAAGAUAAAACUGAUGAUAUGGAAACAAACUUUUCUGAAUCAGAAAUACAGCAAUCUAAUAACAUAUUUGAGUCACUUUCAAAACUGUAUUCUUCAAUGCAUGAAGAAGAUCUUUGGGCUGGUCUCUGGCUUAAAUUUGCACACUAUCCAGAAACAAAUAUAGCUGUUUCAUAUGAACAAAUGGGAUUUUUUGAAGAGGCCCAAGGAGCUUAUGAUUUAGCUAUGACAAAAUUUAAACAAGAUUUAAAUAACGGUGUCGUUAAUACAUAUGUUAAUAGCGAGUUAUCUUUGUGGGAAAAGCAUUGGAUUCGCUGCGCUAAGGAACUUAAUCAGUGGGAUAUUUUACUAGACUAUGCUCAAACAAAUAAAGAUAAAAACAUGUUUUUAAUUCUUGAAAGUUCAUGGCGCGUACCUGAUUGGAACUUAAUGAGAACUGCUUUGGGUAAAACGGAGCAAUGUUAUUUAAAACAUCAAGGCUUUAAAAUAAACCUUUACAAAGGAUAUUUAAGUAUUCUUCAUCAAGAUGAAAAGCAAACUGGAAGUGUAGAUCGAUAUGUAGAGAUUGCAUCUAGCCUUUGUAUUCGCGAGUGGCGGCGUUUGCCCAACAUAGUUUCGCAUAUUCAUUUGCCAUAUCUUCAAGCCUCGCAACAAAUUAUGGAACUUCAUGAAGCAAGUCAAAUUCACCAAGGAUUAGCCCAGUCACGCAAUAAUUCAUUACACGAUAUGAAAGCAAUUGUAAAAACCUGGCGUAAUCGCUUACCAAUUAUUUCUGACGAUUUAUCACAUUGGAGUGACAUAUUUACUUGGCGACAACAUCACUACCAAAUAAUAACACAACACCUCGAACAACAAUCAGAUCAAGGCAGUACAAUGUUGGGGGUACAUGCAUCUGCACAAGCCAUUAUUUCCUUCGGAAAAAUAGCAAGGAAACACAAUUUGACAGGUGUUUGUCAGGAGACAUUGUCCAGGAUAUAUACAAUACCCUCAGUUCCAAUCGUCGAUUGCUUUCAGAAAAUCCGGCAGCAGGUGAAAUGCUAUCUUCAAAUGCCAUCAACAUCUGGAAAGAAUGAAAUAAAUGAAGCCUUGGAAGUUAUCGAGUCUACAAAUUUAAAAUACUUUACUAGUGAAAUGAAUGCUGAGUUUUAUGCUUUAAAAGGGCUUUUGUUAGCCCAAAUUGGACGCACCGAGGAGGCUGGAAAAUCAUUUAGUGCCGCGGCACAGCUUCAUGAUGGUCUUACAAAAGCUUGGGCUAUGUGGGGAGAAUAUAUGGAACAAAUUUUUCUUAACGAAAAACAAAUUUCACUUGCUGCUAAUGCAUUAAUAUGUUAUUUACAUGCCAGCAGAAAUCAAAUAGAAAGUAAAACCAGAAAAUAUAUCGCAAAAGUAUUAUGGUUUAUGUCUUACGAUAACCAUACAAAAACCCUAAUUAACACUUUGGAAAAAUAUGUUCCUGGAAUUCCACCCUCUUAUUGGCUACCAUGGAUACCUCAGCUACUGUGUUGUUUGGAGCAAAUUGAUGGAGAUGUUAUAUUAAACCUUUUAAGUCAAAUUGGACGCCUGUAUCCUCAAGCAGUUUAUUUUCCGAUCCGGACUUUAUAUUUGACUUUAAAAAUCGAGCAACGGGAAAAACACAAAUCGGCCGAGCAAGCUGUUGCUUAUGCUGGAAAAAGUUCAUGUUUGAAUAUGGACAGCAGUGUUCCUAGUACUGGAAGACCAAAUCAAGGAAAUAUUCCAUCAGUUAAUCCCAUUAAAGCGACGCCUCCGAUGUGGCGUUGCUCUAAAGUGAUGCAAUUGCAAAGAGAAGUACAUCCAACUAUAUUAAGUUCUUUGGAAGGUAUAGUAGACCAAAUGGUUUGGUUUAGAGAAAGCUGGACGGAGGAAGUUCUUCGGCAACUACGUCAAGGCUUAAUAAAAUGUUAUGCAAUAGCAUUUGAGAAUAGAAACACUGUAGUCCAUUCUACCAUAACCCCUCACACAUUACACUUCGUUAGGAAGCUUGGUUCAACAUUUGGAAUUGGAAUAGAAAAUGUUCCUGGAUCUGUCACCUCAUCAGUUUCUAAUUCGGCAGCAUCCGAAUCACUUGCUCGACGUGCCCAAGUAACAUUUCAGGAUCCAGUGUUCCAAAAAAUGAAGGAACAAUUUACUAAUGACUUUGACUUUUCAAAGCCUGGUGCUAUGAAAUUGCACAACCUUAUAUCUAAAUUAAAAACAUGGAUAAAAGUCCUUGAAACAAAGGUUAAAAAAUUACCAACAUCAUUUUUAAUAGAAGACAAGUGUAGAUUUUUGUCAAACUUUAGUCAAAAAACAGCCGAAGUGGAACUUCCCGGCGAGUUGUUAAUCCCAUUAUCGUCUCAUUAUUAUGUAAGAAUCGCCAGAUUCAUGCCUCGGGUGGAAAUUGUGCAGAAAAAUAAUACAGCUGCACGACGACUUUAUAUUCGCGGUACGAAUGGAAAAAUAUAUCCCUAUCUUGUAGUUCUCGACUCUGGAUUGGGCGAUGCUCGCCGAGAAGAAAGAGUGUUACAACUGAAACGUAUGUUAAACUACUAUUUAGAAAAGCAAAAAGAGACAAGUCGGCGGUUUUUAAACAUAACGGUACCAAGGGUUGUACCAAUAUCUCCUCAAAUGCGAUUAGCGGAAGAUAAUCCAAACAGUAUUUCAUUGUUGAAAAUAUUUCAAAAAUGUUGCAACAACACGCAGGUGGAUUACGAUAUGCCAAUAGUUAAAUAUUAUGAUCGUCUUUCUGAAGUCCAGGCAAGGGGAACGCAGACUACACAUACUAUUUUACGAGAAAUAUUUUCUGAAAUACAAUGGACUAUGGUCCCAAGGACUUUGCUCAAGAAUUGGGCUUUGAAAACAUUUAUGGCUGCUACCGACUUUUGGCAUUUCAGAAAAAUGCUUACUCUGCAGUUGGCGUUGGCUUUUCUAUGCGAACACGCCUUAAACUUGACUCGUCUGAAUGCCGAUAUGAUGUACCUCCAUCAAGACUCUGGACUGAUGAACAUAUCUUAUUUUAAAUUUGAUGUAAAUGAUGAUAAGUGUGAGCUUAACCAACACAGGCCAGUACCAUUUCGCUUAACUCCCAACAUUGGAGAAUUUGUAACACACAUUGGUACAACUGGCCCUUUAUCGGCAGCAAUUGUAGCAACAGCUCGAUGUUUUAUUCAACCAAAUUAUAAGCUAUGCUCAAUAUUGCAAACUGUUUUAAGAGAUGAAAUAAUAGCCUUGCAAAAAAAAGGGCUUAGAGAAUGUAAGGACCGUUCAGAAGAGCAUUCUAUCGAUGGAAAUUAUAUGGAGCUCACAGUUAACGUUGUGAAUUCAGCCGUGGAAACUAUAAUGUCACGUUUUAAUAAAAUUUCUUAUUUCGAUAGUAUUGAAAAUAAAAAGAUAUCCAUGCUUAUACAAUCGGCAACCAACAUCGACAAUCUGUGUCGUAUGGACCCUGCCUGGCAUCCCUGGUUAUAAUUCAAAGUUAAUAUAUUUUUCUUAUGAAAUGAUUGUUUAAAAAAUAUUUAGAUUGUGUCGGCUUAAAAGAAACGAAUUAUUUUAAUGAAGAGUAUUUUAAGUCUUAUAAUUACUGAUUGUAUUUAAAAAUAAAAAAAAACUUUUAUAAUAUACAACAAUUGUUUAUAUUUUUAUUUAAAUUUAACUACAAAAAAAAUACAAAUAUAAGCCACCGACGACUCGUUCGACGACACGGACAAAAAGGUCAUCGAGAGCGUCAUGUAUGUCGAAAACUUCAAUUCCAUACAAAAUGUCUGUUGAAAUGUGGUAGGUGCGGCUGUAGCACCUACCUCCGCUGUCGUCGGUGCGUCGUCGCACAUUUCAUCUACGACAAAGCAAUUUUGGAACUGCAGGGUACACAUGCCCAUACAUAAGCACGAUAACAAACGUAAGUUCCUUCGCAGUACACCCUUCAAAGAUUUCCAAAGUGACAUUUACAAUACAGCCCACAUCAUUUAUAAUUUCCAAAUAUACAACAUUCAAUUUUAAACUCAUAUAUUUCUGAGUUCCCAAACACACAUAUCCAUACACAUACACACACAUAUGAAGAAGAGGAAAGUCGAUGCGUGCCGGACGUGUUUUUCAUUCGAGUGCGCGAAAACAAGUUUCCAUCGUUGUGUACCGCGAUUGCGUGGCCUAGAGGUGAAGAAGAGGGGCUGUAGUGACCCAUACUUGUGGAAGGAGGAACUUACCAGUGUGCGAAGGUCUUCCCUGUAGAGGUGGAGAAACAUCGAUGGCAACAUCGAUGAUAUCGAUGUUUUUGAAACAUCGGCAACAUCGAUGUUUACCGGGGCAACAUCGAUGUUUUUCCAUCUCUAAUAUCUAAGGCGCAAAAGGGAAGAUUGACACAUUGUAAGUACAAAUAUCAUUUAAUUUUAUUAUAAAUUACUAACAGAAUAUUGUUAUUUUUAAUACUUGUUGGUGGUGUUGACGUUAAAAAUACAAGCAGAUGAAGUUAAGCGAGACGAACCUAAAAUUACUGUUAAAAAUUUUGCGAGCAUAAUACCAGAAUUUGAUGAUAUGUAUAACAAUUCCAGUUAAAAAUUGGUUCACGAGCUUUGAGACAAACGCCAACGCGUAUGGACUAAGUGAUCCACAGAAAUUUGUACAUGCCCUAUGGAAGGUUACAAAAUCUGCAAAAUAUUUUCUUGAGACGACACACGCAUCCAAUUAUUCUGAGUUGCGGAAACUAUUGGAAGAGGAAUUUGAUAGUGAGUCUUCUGUGUGUAGUGCGGAUAUACAUGCAAAGUUGCGUUUGCAGAAAAAAGAAAAAGAAGAAAGCUUCAAAGACUAUGUGCUCCAAAUGAGGAAGAUUGCCACGGCGGGCGCAGUUGACUCCUGUUCAAUAAUUCGUUAUAUAGUAGAUGGUCUAAAUUUGAAAACUGACUUUAAGUUCAGUUUAAGGAGCUGGAAAAUCAGUAUGGAAUUUAUGAGCGAGCGUCGGCAGCUAAUAAGUUGCAAAGAGAAGAAAAAAAGUUUAAUGCGGGACAGGAGGAUAAAGAAAAGAAAAAUCAAUGCUAUAACUGUGGGUCCUCAGAGCAUUUUUUGUAAAGAAGAAAAAAAUGUUUUCGUUGCCAAAAAGGUGGACAUAUUUCAAGGGAUUGUCCUGGAACAGCUGUGAAUGUGGCAUUGGUGCACGACAGUAAGCGUCUAAAAUGAGUCAUAUUAAACGGAAUUGAAGUGGACUGCUUGAUAGACACAGGAGCUGAUUUGACUAUUGUCAAAGAGAACGUAUUCAAAAAGGUCAGCAGCGUGCAGUUGGAAAAAUGUGAAUUGCAGCUACGAGGUUUGGGGAACAAUAUAAUUCGCCCCAUUGGUCGUUUCGUAGCUGAGAUAAAUUUGGAUUUACUUUUACUUCUUCGCAAGAUGGAUAUCAGUUUUCCUGCCCUACCGGUGGGAAAGCUGAUGCGCCUAAUCAGAUAAGUAUGAUAUAUACAAUAUGGUUGAAGCACACAUUGAUAUUGAUGUUCCGUCGCGGUAUCUACAUGAAGUAAAAUCGUUGAUUGACCAAUAUGAUCCUGUGAAGCCGGUGAUUGAGUUUCCUGUGCUGCUGAAGAUAAUACCAGAUGGUGAAAUUAUUCCAUUUCAUCAAGCUCCUAGACGACUGGCUAUUGAGGAGGAAGAAGAAGUUGACCGGCAAAUUCAAAUUAGACUUCGCUAAAGAAUUAUUAGAGAGUCGUUAUCUCACUUUGCCAGUCGUUUGGUGCUGUUAAACAAAAAUUAUGGCUCAAGACGAAUUUGUGUUGAUUAUCGAAAGCUAAACUCAAUGGUUUUGAAAGAUUGUUUUCCUGUACCGGUAAUUGAUGACGUGCUGGAGAAAUUGCAGAAGGCCAAGUUCUUACAAAGAAUGGGCUUUUUGAAUUCAAUAAAGCCCCAUUUGGAUUUGGGAAUUCACCACCCGUGUUUAUACGAUAUGUGAGUCACAUUUUCGAAGAUUUAAGGAAGCAAAAUGUUUUGGACCUAUACGUGGAUGAUAUAAUAAUUCACGCGGAAACAGCAGACGAAUGUUUAAAGAAGAUGAAGAUGGUAUUGAAGGCGGCUACGUUGCACGGAUUAAAAAUUAAAUGGAAGAAAUGCCAUUUUUUACAGCCAUCUAUAUCGUUUCUAAGCCAUAAAAUUUAUGGAGCAUAUGUUGGUCCUGGUCAGGAGAAAACAGAUGCUGUUAAUAAGUUUCCUGUGCCCAAAAAUGUGCGAGCUGUUUAGGCCUUUUUGGGAUUAACAGCCUUUUUUCGGAAGUUCAUUAAAGAUUAUUCGUUUGAAGAAAGAUGCAACCUUCCGGAUAGAGUCAGCAGAAUUGGCGGUUUUUCAAGAGCUAAAGAAGGCAUUGACAGAAGAACCCGUGCUAUAAUUAUACAAUAGAGAAGCUAAAAGCAAAUUGCAUACAGAUGCAUCAAAAGAUGGUUUUGGGCAGCCUUGUUGCAGUGGUCCGAAGAAGAGCUCCAUCCAGUUUUAUAUUGGAGUAAGAAAACGACUGAAUCAGAGUCACGCAAACAUAGUUACAUAUUAGAGGCGAAAGCAGCUUAUCUAGCCAUAAAAAAAUUUCGACGCUAUUUACUGGGAAAGCCAUUUAAGCUGGUGACAGAUUGUGCAGCGUUUAGUCAAACGCUUAACAAGCAAGAUGUCCCUCGUGAAGUUCAGCAAUGGAUCGUAUAUAUGCAGGAUUUUGAGUUUCAAAUCGAGUAUCGACCGGGAAACAGACUUAAACACGUCGAUUUUCUUAGUCGCUAUCCGUGCCAGAUUAUGUUGGUGUCGACAGAGAUGACGGCUAAGUUGAAAAAAGCGCAGGAGAAAGACGAAAUGAUAAAAGCCAUCUUAGAAAUACUUGUUGACCGUCCAUAUGGAUCGUACAAACUAAAAGGCGGGCUGGUCUAUAAGGUAGAAGAUGAUUUAUUGGUUGUUCCACGGCAAAUGGAAAAGGAAAUAACUGUUGAGGCUUAUAAUGCAGGACAUUUUGGUGCUCAAAAAACAUGUCACAAUAUUAGGCACCAUUUUUGGAUUGCACAUCUAGAGAGAAAAGUUUCACAAGCCAUAAGUGGCUGUAUAAAAUGUAUAAUGUUUAAUAAAAAAAAAUUGGUAAAAAAAAAGGACAGUUACAUCUCGUCGAAAAGGGAGAUCAGCCGCUACAUACACUUCAUAUAGACUAUUUGGGGCCAAUGGCUGCCACUACAAAACAAUACAAACAUAUUUAAGCGAUUGUUGAUGCUUUCACAAAAUUCAUAUGGCUGUAUCCGACCAAAACAACAAGCUGUGAGGAAACUAUAAACAAAUUGGAUAUGUGGUCGGCAGUAUUCGGGGCUCCGAUGAGGAUUGUGUCAGAUCGAGGUUCGGCAUUUACAGCUGGUUUAAGCUGGAAAGCAUUAAUAGAAUGUUGGAGCAGGAGAUGUACGAACAUUUUGAUGAGGAAAGACUGCGGAUAAGACAAGAGGCAAAAUGUAAUAUUCAGUGCGCACAAGAAUCGUACAAAAGGCAGCACGAUAAGAAGUGUAAGAAUCCUCACGAGUAUCGUGUGGGUGACUUGGUCGCAAUCCGUCGUACGCAAUUUGUCGCUGGAAGGAAACUGGCAAGCGAGUUUUUGUGCCCAUACGAGAUAAUAAAAGUAAAGCGAAAUGGGCGCUAUGACGUUCGUAAGACAGCUCAGGUCGAAGGUCCGAUGAAGACAUGUACAAGUGAAGAUCACAUGAAGCUGUGGGCAUAUGCAACCCAGACCGACGAGCAGUGUGAGUCAUCUGAGACAGAAGACUAAUCACGAUGGCCGAAUGUAAAGCAGUAUGGGCAGCGUGACGACAAAGAGAGCAUUCCCUCAGAGCGAAGUGGAAAAGCGAGAGCAGUGUUGAUCAAGCUGUCGUGUUGGUUGCAUCAAUUAAGUUGUCAAGCGUCGAGGAAUUUUUGUCAGUCCUGUAAACCUUUGUUAAUUUUAAUAAAUCUAUCACUUAAUAAACUUGCUGGGUAUAACCCAGUUCGCGGAAAUUUUGACGGGAUGUUAAAAGAAGGAAGGAAAAAAAAAUUAAAACGAAAGAAAUUUUUAAGUUUAUUAAUAUAAAUUAAAUUUACUGAAAAUCGGAAGGCAGUAUUAUAUUAUAUAGUUGUCUUCUGAACAACCCUUGAAUGUAUAAUAUUAAUAGAAAAAUCGCGUAACUUUGCUGUUGAUUAAUCUUUAUGCAUUUUGCUUUAAAUUUGUGAUGAUUGUAAUGAUGAUUGUUCGGCUCGCCGAAUUUAGCUUCCUUUCAUGUUUUCAUAAGGAUUCCCCUUCGACCAUUGCAUUUAAUACAUACAAUGCACUUUACCACUCUUACUUCUUGGCUAUUCCUGAAUAUCCUAAAAGUAGCGUAUUUCUUGACACGCGAAGAAAGCAUUGUAAAUGAUCCAAAAUGCCUAUCGACUAGAUUCGUGCUUUAACUUACUGUAAUCCUGACUCCGCCACAUUAAUUUUCUUAAAAGAUUUGCUCUCGUUGUUAGUGUUGUUCGGCAUUCAUCCAUUUUGUUCUACAUUUAGCAAUUCGUUGCGAUAAAAGCUAUUGAAAUAGUAUUAUUUUAAAGAUGGGACUAAAGUGUCAUAUAGCACUACUAUAUAUCAUAGAAAUAAGAAAAAUAGUGGCAAUUUUGACUAAACUUAAGAAGUGCUAUAUAUAGUACACUUGAUUGUUGGUUUUUUUAAAUAACGAACGACGAGGGCGGUUUGAUAAGUCAAUGACUUUUUUAAUUUCCCGCUCAGUUGCUCCAAAUGCAUUGGUGCUGCUGUCAGCUGUAAUCUAUUAGUGGCCAACUGUCAAAUUUUGAGAACGCUACAUCAUGCAGUUGGUGUUUGAUAACCAUUCAGAGCAGACACCCUGGUGAAUUUUUACGAAAAUCGAAUAAAGUAAAUUUCGUGUGCUGAUAGUCACGAUGACCAAAAUCCACGAAUUGAUAUACGAACUGGUGUCGUAUCCAGUAUAGAAGUCACUACCGAAACAAAUUUUGAGAGUCUUGGGGAAAACCUAUUAUUGGGAGGGAAUAAAAAAAUUAGAAAAACGAUAGACUAAAUAUAUCGAUCUAAAAGCUUACUCUGCAGUUGGCGUUGGCUUUUCUAUGCGAACACGCCUUAAACUUGACUCGUCUGAAUGCCGAUAUGAUGUACCUCCAUCAAGACUCUGGACUGAUGAACAUAUCUUAUUUUAAAUUUGAUGUAAAUGAUGAUAAGUGUGAGCUUAACCAACACAGGCCAGUACCAUUUCGCUUAACUCCCAACAUUGGAGAAUUUGUAACACACAUUGGUACAACUGGCCCUUUAUCGGCAGCAAUUGUAGCAACAGCUCGAUGUUUUAUUCAACCAAAUUAUAAGCUAUGCUCAAUAUUGCAAACUGUUUUAAGAGAUGAAAUAAUAGCCUUGCAAAAAAAAGGGCUUAGAGAAUGUAAGGACCGUUCAGAAGAGCAUUCUAUCGAUGGAAAUUAUAUGGAGCUCACAGUUAACGUUGUGAAUUCAGCCGUGGAAACUAUAAUGUCACGUUUUAAUAAAAUUUCUUAUUUCGAUAGUAUUGAAAAUAAAAAGAUAUCCAUGCUUAUACAAUCGGCAACCAACAUCGACAAUCUGUGUCGUAUGGACCCUGCCUGGCAUCCCUGGUUAUAAUUCAAAGUUAAUAUAUUUUUCUUAUGAAAUGAUUGUUUAAAAAAUAUUUAGAUUGUGUCGGCUUAAAAGAAACGAAUUAUUUUAAUGAAGAGUAUUUUAAGUCUUAUAAUUACUGAUUGUAUUUAAAAAUAAAAAAAAACUUUUAUAAUA